rnacentral:rRNA from 1 species
GCUUGGCCCUAAACCUCAGUAGUUAGAUAACAAAACUACUCGCCAGAAUACUACAAGCAACAGCUUAAAACUCAAAGGACUUGACGGUGCUUUACAUCCCCCUAGAGGAGCCUGUUCCGUAAUCGAUAAACCCCGAUCCACCCCACCCUCUCUUGCUCAGCCUAUAUACCGCCAUCUUCAGCAAACCCUAAUGAAGGCUACAAAGUGAGCGCAAACGCCACUGCCGCGAAUACGUUAGGUCAAGGUGUAGCCCAUGAGACGGUAAAAAAUGGGCUACAUUUUCUAUUUCAGAAAACCCCACGAAAACCCUUAUGAAACUUAAAGGUCCAAGGAGGAUUUAGCAGUAAAUUAAGAGUAGAGUGCUUAAUUGAACCAGGCCAUAAAGCGCG